UAGACCUGAGGUCAGGCAAGACCACCCGCUGAACUUAAGCAUAUCAAUAAGCGGAGGA
rnacentral:rRNA from 3 species